GCGGGAGUGCCAGAGCUCGGUCAAAUGGGCUAGCUUGAGGUGCUAGUGGCUUAGUGCCUCCUAAGGUUCAAAUCCUUACUCCCGCA
rnacentral:tRNA from 1 species